AUGUCGUCCAGGAAGACCGCGGGCCCGUCCCGCGCCGCCGCCGGCGGCGCGAAGAAGGUGGCUAGUGGCGCGCGGGGCGUGAGCCUCCGGGCGCUGCGGGAGGGGCUUGCUCGCCAGAAGGAGGAGGAGGAGCGCAGGGCGCGGGAGCAGGAGCUGCAGGCGCAGGCGGAGGAGGAGAGGGGGCGGCGGGAGGCGGAGGAGGAGGAGGAGAGGAGGAAGCUGAGGGAGCAGGAGCUGAAGCGGAGGGAGGAGGACAGGCAGCGGAGGCGGCUGGAGGAGAGGAAGCGGGAGGAGAGCCGGCGCGCGGAGGAGGCGCGCAGGCGGCUCGGCAUCACCGCCCCCCUUGUUGAGGGCGGCGGUGCUGCUGGUGUGGAUGAUGGCCGGAAGAAGCGGCCGGUGUAUCACUCCAGGAGACCUGCGUUGAAGCCCAAGACUGUCGAAUCUGAAGCUGAUGUGGGAGGAGACCAGGGCUCGAGCGGUGUUUCGCAAGAAGAGGAAAACAGCGCCGCCCUCAAUGAGGCGCUCAAAUUGGGGGAGGGAUCAAGCGAUGGAUCAUUGGAAGAGGACAGAACAGCAAUCGGUGAUGAUGAUGAUGAGGAGGAGGAUGCUUGGGAUAGCAAGAGCCUCGAUGAAUUUGAUGUCAUGUCUGCUGCUGGCAAUUCUCACUCAUCUGGUUCUGAAGAAGAUAUCAAAGAGAAACAUGUUAUCUCCACUGCUCCGGUCGUUAAUCCAGACAAUGCAGUCAAUGAGAUUGUGGAGGAUAUCUUCGACGCUCAGGAUGUAGCUUCAGGAGAUGAAAAGGAGCUUCGGGCACCGAUAUGCUGCAUCCUUGGGCACGUGGAUGCCGGAAAGACGAAGCUCCUCGAUUGCAUCCGGGGCACCCAUGUGCAGGAGCGGGAGGCCGGGGGCAUCACACAACAGAUUGGCGCCACCUACUUACCGGCUGAAAACAUCAGGGACAGGACGAGUUUAAAAGCUGAAACCGCCAUCAAAGUUCCUGGUUUGCUCGUGAUUGACACCCCUGGCCAUGAGUCCUUCAGUAAAAUGCGCUCAAGGGGAUUGAGUAUGUGUGACGUCGCCGUGGUUGUCGUCGAUAUUACGAAGGGGCUUGAGAAGCAGACAGUUGAAUCCCUCCAUCUUUUGAGACGCCACAAUGUGAGCUUCAUUGUCGCCUUGAACAAGGUUGACCGGCUCUAUGGGUGGAAGGAAUGUACCAAUGCACCAAUAGUCGAGGCACUCAAGAAGCAAUCUGAUGACGUCAAAAGUGAAUACAAAUGGAGGUUAACUAAGGUUGUAACAGAUUUUAAGGAAAAUGGCUUCAACACUGCUCCUUACUAUGAAAACAAUAAGAAGAAAAAAGUGGUUAACAUUGCCCCGACCAGUGCUGAAAGCGGUGAAGGUGUGCCAGAUCUUCUACUGCUACUGGUGCGAUGGCUGCCUGACAUAAUUACAGAUAAGCUGGCCUAUGACGAUACAGUAGAGUGUACAGUACUAGAAGUCAAUGAACAUAAAGAUUUGGGAACUACUGUUGACGUAGUACUGAUUAAUGGUGUGCUGCGCCAAGGGGAUCAAGUAAUUGUUUGCACUAAACAGGGGCCUGUUACAACCAUUAUUAGAGAUUUGUUGACCCCUCAUCCAAUGAAAGAACUCAAAGCUAAGGGUGCAUAUAAGCAUCACAAGGAGGUCAGAGCUGGGCAGGGGGUAAAAAUUGUGGCACGGACUUGCAAGGAGGGCAUCUAUGUGCAAGCUUCCAGUGUUGGAACCUUGGAAGCUAUCAUUGCGCACUUGAAGAGCAGUAGUGUGGACAUUCCUGUUUAUGCUUGGAACUUAGGACCCGUGUACAAGCAGGAUGUCAUGAAGGCAAGUGCCAUGCUGAAGCGGAAAGAAGAGUAUGCAGUCAUCUUGGCCUUUGACGUCAAAGUGAUGCCUGAGGCUAGUGCCCUUGCAGCUGAAUCAGGGUUGAAGAUUAUUACUGCUGAUACGGUAUAUAGGCUCGUCAACAUCUAUACUGAGCACAUUAAGGGAUUGAAGGAAGCGAAGAAAAUGCAAUUUGCAGCUGAGGCAGUUUUCCCAUGCACCCUGAAGAUUCUGCCAAACCGUGUCUACCAUAGCAAGGAUCCAAUUGUUUGCGACGUUGAAGUUGUGGAAGGUGUCGUCAAGGUGGGAACCCCGAUAUGUGUCUUCACCCCGAGCAAGGAUAAAAGCAAGAAUAUAAUAGUUCAUAGCCUCGGGAGGAUCUCCUCCAUGCAAACGUCCAAUGGCAAUCAGAUUUUCUCGGCCAGGAAUGGAGUUGUGGCCAUAAAGAUAAGCGGUGACAGCCCUCAGGAGAAAUCCCGGUCUUAUGGACGGCAUUUUGAUUCUAGCAAUGAGCUGGUCAGCGAGAUCUCGAGGAGAUCCAUCGAUGUGCUCAAAGAGUGCUUUCGGGAUGAAAUGAGGGCUGAAAAUUGGCAGCUUAUCAGCAGGCUGAAGACACAGUUCAAGAUAGCCUGA
rnacentral:rRNA from 1 species